rnacentral:tRNA from 1 species
GUCAGCAUGGAAUAGUGGCUUGAGUGUUGGACUAUGACUCCAGAGACCAGGGUUCAAUUCCCAGCUCAGCCA